ACUCCUACGGGAGGCAGCAGUGGGGAAUAUUGCACAAUGGGCGCAAGCCUGAUGCAGCCAUGCCGCGUGUGUGAAGAAGGCCUUCGGGUUGUAAAGCACUUUCAGUCGUGAGGAAGGUAGUGUAGUUAAUAGCUGCAUUAUUUGACGUUAGCGACAGAAGAAGCACCGGCUAACUCCGUGCCAGCAGCCGCGGUAAUACGGAGGGUGCGAGCGUUAAUCGGAAUUACUGGGCGUAAAGCGCAUGCAGGUGGUUUGUUAAGUCAGAUGUGAAAGCCCGGGGCUCAACCUCGGAAUAGCAUUUGAAACUGGCAGACUAGAGUACUGUAGAGGGGGGUAGAAUUUCAGGUGUAGCGGUGAAAUGCGUAGAGAUCUGAAGGAUACCGGUGGCGAAGGCGGCCCCCUGGACAGAUACUGACACUCAGAUGCGAAAGCGU
rnacentral:rRNA from 1 species